rnacentral:rRNA from 1 species
AACGAACGCUGGCGGCAUGCCUAACACAUGCAAGUCGAACGAGACCUUCGGGUCUAGUGGCGCACGGGUGCGUAACGCGUGGGAACCUGCCCUUAGGUUCGGAAUAACUCCCCGAAAGGGGUGCUAAUACCGGAUAAUGUCUUCGGACCAAAGAUUUAUCGCCUUUGGAUGGGCCCGCGUUGGAUUAGCUAGUUGGUAGGGUAAAAGCCUACCAAAGCGACGAUCCAUAGCUGGUCUGAGAGGAUGAUCAGCCACACUGGGACUGAGACACGGCCCAGACUCCCACGGGAGGCAGCAGUGGGGAAUAUUGGACAAUGGGUGAAAGCCUGAUCCAGCAAUGCCGCGUGAGUGAUGAAGGCCUUAGGGUUGUAAAGCUCUUUUACCCGGGAUGAUAAUGACAGUACCGGGAGAAUAAGCUCCGGCUAACUCCGUG